CUCUUUUUUAGGAUCAAGAUGACCACACUGCAGCCAAGGACAAAAGCCCCACAGGAGCUCAUUGUACUGCAGGAGAGGAGUGGACCCACGUCAGAAAUGAGGUUGUACCUUUUCCCGGCUUUUCUGUGAGCAAUGAAGCCACAUCACGAUAGAGUCUUGAAGAGGAAUCCGGGAAUGGGAGUUGGCAACAAUCCCUGUCACUGGAACG
rnacentral:lncRNA from 1 species